GAGAGCGGCGUACGGGUGCGUAACACGUGUGCAACUUACCUAUAUCAGUGGGAUAGCCUUUCGAAAGAGAGAUUAAUACCGCAUAUUAUACCGAAUGGCAUCAUUUGGUAUAGAAAACUACGGUGGAUAUAGAUGGGCACGCGCAAGAUUAGUUAGUUGGUGAGGUAACGGCUCACCAAGACAAUGAUCUUUAGGGGGCCUGAGAGGGUGAUCCCCCACACUGGUACUGAGACACGGACCAG
rnacentral:rRNA from 1 species